GUACAGACAAGGACGCUGUGGAAAACCAAGGCAAGGCUGCUGGGUCUGGAACGGAAUGCCGUGUGACCCAGCAUCCUCCGUUCCUCUUCCUCCCCUUCACCCAGUCAAUUCCGAUCCCACCAAUUCACGCAGACGCGUCUGUCCAUUUACCAGGACAACAAAGGCCCAGCCAAGGCCAGCAGCAGCAGCAGCAGCGCAUCCGAAGAUGUCCUUGCAUGUGCAUGGGAAUGGGAUGAUGAACCAACCGGGUACGGCAAUGAAGAAGAAGCCGGCCGGCGACAAUUCGCCGCCAGCCGAGCCAGGCCGGCCGGCCGGCCGGCUACUAUCAGAAAAUGGGACGACUCGAGGAAGCAAAAGGCAAAACAGAGAAGAGAGGCCAAAAACAAGCACACAUGAUGCGAUUCUUGCUCCUGCCAGCGAUCAGUCAGAUUUUUUUUCUAGUUCAUCGUAUUCACGCAUUUACCAAUACCCAUCCAUGUGGCUUGCAGGCGAAAAUGGCUAGUUUUUGCACAUGAUAAGCACCGCCGGCGAUCGACUGAUGACUCACCUGUGAGUUCGCCGGAAACGGUCGACUGACGGCUCACUCCUCCCUUCCUCCCUGGCCUGGGUUGCUCGGUGCACCUUUUUUUUUUCUCUCUAGCUCCCAGCUACCUCUUCUGCCCGGCCGGCCCGUUGCACUCUUUCUGACGAGAAGCUGUUGGCGAUCACGAACGCCUGUAAAUAAGCUAGCUAGGGACAGUGGUGGGUGGAAUCGGGGUGGUGUUAGCUCUCUCUCUCUCUCUCUCUCUCUCUCUCUCUC
rnacentral:misc_RNA from 1 species